AUGCUUACCUAGAAGGGCAGAGCCGCCAGGAUGAAGGCCGAUUUUCCAGGGUAAUGUGCACCCAUUGCAUUCCAGGUGCCCUGAAACAUCUCCACACUCUGGAAACUCAGUUUUGUAAUUUGUGGUAGUAGGGGAGUAUGUUCCCACCUUCUCCUG